AAUAGGCCACGGGCAGGGCUGCUUUAUAGCGAUCAGCUGGGAGCAGUUGGGGCCGAGCCCUUCAUGUCUCGGGCUGUCCACACUCCAAGCGCGGUGCGGGCGCCCAGGCCUCCAUCUUGCAUCUCACUGUGAGCCCGGCGCUUGCGCACACAGCUUGCCUGCUAUGCUGAGGGGUGGGUGCAGCCGCUUGCCACGAGGAGGAGCUCUGGUCUGAAGCCCCUGGUGCGAGGUCUCUGCUCAGACCACCCUGUGAGCAAGUGAAACUCAACCAAGCACGAAGGAAAGAAAGGACAAGGGGACGGACACUAAGAAGGGGAUGUAUUGUCUGCGUGUGUUGCCUUCACACCUUUGAAUUCUAAAGGGAUGGCAGGGGCAGCUAACAGAGAGCAGAGAGGAGGCAUCCGGAAUCCCAUGUGGCACAUUUAUGUCAACUGCAUGUCAAUCAGAUGCAAGUGAAGACUAAGCAGUUCCAGCACGGGAACCUCUGAAAAUCAAGACCACAUCAUCCUGAUGUUUUGGCAUUUUGCCCACUGCCUCAGCAUGUGCUUUUAAAGAGAGCUCUCUAUUGCCGUCUCAUGGUGAAUGAGUGAAUGGCUGGGAUUAGGAGACAAAACUGGCUACCACCACUAAGCAGAAAGAUUCCACAAAGGCAAAGGGGAAGCUUACAUGAAGCAGACCUGAGUUCCUGCUAUUACUUAUGUGCAACAUCAGAAAGAGAAUUCCAUGGUAAGUGUAGACAGUCUCUAAGGUUUGAGGCUCACCAUAUGAAGGAAUGUUUUCCUGGAAAGCUCUUCUUCUCCAGUCUGGCAUUCAUCCUUCUGAAACAAAAUUUAAUCCCCAGUAUGGUGGACAAGGAAAGCAUUGUUUUUGUUGGUUUCCUUUCUUUUUGUGUUUAAACUAGUAGGGUGUGGAGGACAGGGGAGAAGUGCCCUAUCCACAGUGCCUGAGGGCAGCUUAGCAACCCAGGAGUGUGUAGAGAGAAACUGGCUUAGCUGGUAUAGGAAGUUCUGUAGGAAACAUUCAUGGGCUCUGAGAAGUUGCAUUUCUAUCAAUGGGAGAUUUUCGGUUUUUUUAACUUUUUUGAAGUGUGGAGAUUUCUUAAUUUUCUCAAGAGUAAAAGUUUAACGAGUACUGUUUUCUUUUAGUUGAAGUUGAUGUCUCAUCCAGCCUUAAUGUUGCUAGUAGCAGGGCUAUUCUUAAAACCAUUCCUAAAAAAGAAUCAGCUACCUCACCAGAAACUGCCACAGCAUUCCUCGACUCUUCAGAAAUUCCAUUUCAUGCCAUUCUUAUUUGGAACAUACUUUGCAAUUAACAGUGUUCUAGUUCCUGUGAAUUGUGAAAAGAAUGAAUAGUGGGAGUUCCCAUUGUGGCUCAGCAGUAACAAACCAGAUUAGUACCCAUGAGGAUGGACAUUUGAUCCCUGGCCUGCUCAGUGGGUUAAGGAUCUGGCGUUACCUUGAGCUGUGGUGUAGGUCACAGAUGCGCCUCAGUUGCUGUGGGUGUGGCUGUUGCUGUGGUGUAGGCCGGCAGCAAUAGCUCCAACUUGACCCCUAGCUUGGGAACUUACAUAUGCCCAAAGUGUGGCCCUAAAAAGCAAAAAAAAAAAGGAACAUGGAUCUAAAUAUCACACUUAUUUGUUUCAAAAAAUGAUAAAGCCAAGACUUAGAUUGAUAGUUGGAUAGGGAAGAAAAUAGGAUCUUUUGCCCCUCCUUUGAUGUCCCCAUAUUUUAUUUCUGAAAUAAAUAACCCAUAAAUAAUUGGCCUAGGCCUAGUAAAAGGAUAAUAAAAUGAUUUAGUUUUAUAAAUGGUGAUAGGUAGGAAACACUAUAGAACUGGUGACUUUCUUCUAAAGUUUUGGUUAAGCCAUUGGAGACUUUGCUGUCCAGAAGGUAGGGAUGUUGGCUCUGCCCUAAUUAUCUCAAAUAGCAAGUCUGUUUGGCCCCCAGGAAGGCGGCCAGAUAACGAAUGUGGACAUUACUUUUCUCAGCUCAAAUUGAGAAAAAAAAACUUUACAGAGCUUUGAGGAAGGCAGAUACCAGCAGCCUCUUUUAUGGUGGGUGUGAACACAAAUCAAAGACUCCAGCCGAAAACAUCCUCCACCUGGCGACUU
rnacentral:lncRNA from 1 species